UAAAGCGCGCGCAGGCGGCUAUUUAAGUCUGGUGUUUAAACCUUGGGCUCAACCUGAGGUCGCACUGGAAACUGGGUGGCUUGAGUACAGAAGAGGAAAGUGGAGUCCACGUGUAGCGGUGAAAUGCGUAGAGAUGUGGAGGAACACCAGUGGCGAAGGCGACUUUCUGGGCUGUAACUGACGCUGAGGCGCGAAAGCGUGGGGAGCAAACAGGAUUAGGUACCCUGGUAGUCCACGCCGUAAACGAUGAGUGCUAGGUGUUAGGGGUUUCGAUACCCUUGGUGCCGAAGUUAACACAGUAAGCACUCCGCCUGGGGAGUACGGUCGCAAGACUGAAACUCACAGGAAUUGACGGGGACCCGCACAAUCAGUGGAGUAUGUGGUCUAAUUCGAAGCAACGCGAAGAACCUUACCAGGUCUUGACAUCCCUCUGAAUCCUCUAGAGAUAGAGGCGUCUUUCGGGACAGAGGAGACAGGUGGUGCAUGGUUGUCGUCAGAUCGUGUCGUGAGAUGUUGGUUUAAGUCCCGCAACGAGCGCAACCAUUGACUUUAGUUGCCAUCAGGUUGAGCAGGGCACUCUAGAGUGACUGCCGGUGACAAACCGGAGGAAGGUGGGGAUGACGUCAAAUCAUCAUGCCCCUUAUGACCUGGGCUACACACGUACUACAAUGGCCGGUACAACGGGAAGCGAAGCCGCGAGGUGGAGCCAAUCCCAGCAAAGCCGGUCUCAGUUCGGAUUGCAGGCUGCAACUCGCCUGCAUGAAGUCGGAAU
rnacentral:rRNA from 1 species